rnacentral:RNase_P_RNA from 1 species
CGAGUAAGUCAGACAGCCGCGGGGGAGCGGCGAAAGCCUCCCUCCGAGGAAAGUCCGGGCUCCACAGGGCAAGGAUAACGGGUAACACCCGCCGCAGGCGACUGUAGGACAAGUGCAACAGAGAUAUACCGCCUCGUCCAUCCGGACGAGGUAAGGGUGGAAAGGCGAGGUAAGAGCUCACCCGGGUCACGGAGACGUGAUACCGCUGUAAACUCUAUCCGGAGCAACACCGUGUAGGGGCUGCGUUAAAUCGCGAGGUUUGCCCGACCGCUCCGAGAGGUGGCAUUGAGGC